rnacentral:rRNA from 1 species
AACGAACGUUAGCGGCGCGCCUAACACAUGCAAGUCGCACGAGAAAGGGCUUCGGCCCCGGUAAAGUGGCGCACGGGUGAGUAACACGUGGGUAACCUGCCCUCGAGCGGGGGAUAACAUUCCGAAAGGAGUGCUAAUACCGCAUAAGACCACGACCCCGAAAGGGGACGAGGUAAAAGCUGGCCUCUGUACACAAGCUAGCACUUGAGGAUGGGCCCGCGGCGCAUCAGGUAGUUGGUGAGGUAAUGGCUCACCAAGCCGAAGACGCGUAGCUGGUCUGAGAGGAUGAUCAGCCACACUGGAACUGAGACACGGUCCAGACUCCUACGGGAGGCAGCAGUGGGGAAUCUUGCGCAAUGGGCGAAAGCCUGACGCAGCGACGCCGCGUGAGUGAUGAAGGCCUUCGGGUUGUAAAGCUCUGUGGGGAGAGACGAAUAAGUGCAGCCUAAUACGUUGCAUGAUGACGGUAUCUCCUUAGCAAGCACCGGCUAACUCUGUGCCAGCCGCCGCCGUAACAC